UCCGGUUGAUCCUGCCGGAGGCCAUUGCUAUUGGGAUCCGAUUUAGCCAUGCUAGUCGCACGAGUUCAGACUCGUGGCGAAUAGCUCAGUAACACGUGGCCAAACUACCCUUCGGAACACAAUACCCUCGGGAAACUGAGGCUAAUAGNNNNNNNNGGGGUAACGGCCCACCGUGCCAAUAAUCGGUAUGGGUCAUGAGAGUGAGAACCCAGAGACGGAAUCUGAGACAAGAUUCCGGGCCCUACGGGGCGCAGCAGGCGCGAAACCUUUACACUGCACGACAGUGCGAUAGGGGGAUCCCAAGUGCACAGGCAUAGCGCCUGUGCUUUUCGGUACCGUAAGGUGGUACCAGAAUAAGGGCUGGGCAAGACCGGUGCCAGCCGCCGCGGUAAUACCGGCAGCCCAAGUGAUGGCCGAUCUUAUUGGGCCUAAAGCGUCCGUAGCUGGCCGCGCAAGUCCAUCGGGAAAUCCACCUGCUCAACAGGUGGGCGCCCGGUAGAAACUGCGUGGCUUGGGACCGGAAGGCGCGACGGGUACGUCCGGGGUAGGAGUGAAAUCCCGUAAUCCUGGACGGACCGCCGAUGGCGAAAGCACGUCGCGAGGACGGAUCCGACAGUGAGGGACGAAAGCCAGGGUCUCGAACCGGAUUAGAUACCCGGGUAGUCCUGGCCGUAAACAAUGUCUGCUAGGUGUGGCUCCCACUACGAGUGGGUGCUGUGCCGUAGGGAAGCCGCUAAGCAGACCGCCUGGGAAGUACGUCCGCAAGGAUGAAACUUAAAGGAAUUGGCGGGGGAGCACUACAACCGGAGGAGCCUGCGGUUUAAUUGGACUCAACGCCGGACAUCUCACCAGCAUCGACUGUGGUAAUGACGAUCAGGUUGAUGACCUUAUCCGAGCCUCAGAGAGGAGGUGCAUGGCCGCCGUCAGCUCGUACCGUGAGGCGUCCUGUUAAGUCAGGCAACGAGCGAGACCCGCACCCUUACUUGCNUCAGAGAGGAGGUGCAUGGCCGCCGUCAGCUCGUACCGUGAGGCGUCCUGUUAAGUCAGGCAACGAGCGAGACCCGCACCCUUACUUGCCAGCAGUACCGCGAGGUAGCUGGGGACAGUAGGAGGACCGCCGUGGCUAACACGGAGGAAGGAACGGGCAACGGUAGGUCAGUAUGCCCCGAAUGUGCUGGGCAACACGCGGGCUACAAUGGUCGAGACAAAGGGUUCCUACUCCGAAAGGAGACGGUAAUCUCAGAAACUCGAUCGUAGUUCGGAUUGUGGGCUGCAACUCGCCCACAUGAAGCUGGAUUCGGUAGUAAUCGCGUGUCACAAGCGCGCGGUGAAUACGUCCCUGCUCCUUGCACACACCGCCCGUCAAAGCACCCGAGUGAGGUCCGGAUGAGGCGUUCCACGAACGUCGAAUCUGGGCUUCGCAAGGGGGCUUAAGUCGUAACAAGGUAGCCGUAGGGGAAUCUGCGGCUG
rnacentral:rRNA from 1 species